CCUUUCAUUUAAACAGAACUAAUAAUGUUGGCAAUAAACAAUUAAAAAGAAAAUUAACUGAAAACUUAAAUAUAAAUUAAAAACUUGAAGUCUUUUCACUUGUUCAGUGACAUUUUCUUUUUCCUCUGAUCACUUUGGUCUUGUCACCAAUUGAUUGGCAAUUAGUGUACAACGCUACACUUUCCUUCGUCUUCUUCUUCUUCUCUCUCAGUGAAUAGCAGGUUCUUUUUGCCUUUGUUGGAUUAAUUUAUAUAUGCGCGAUUAGUUUCGCAAUGGAAAGUAGUUUGCCUGGGCGGCUUGUUGGCUCAGAUAUUCAUGGAUUCCAUACACUUCAAGAUUUGGACUUUGGGAACAUAAUGGCAGAAGCUACAUCAAGAUGGCUCCGCCCAAAUGAAAUUCAUGCAAUACUCUGUAACUACAAAUAUUUCACCAUUCAUGUCAAGCCAGUGAAGCUGCCGCGAAGUGGUACUAUUGUGUUGUUUGAUCGCAAGAAGCUAAGGAACUUCCGUAAAGAUGGUCAUAAUUGGAAGAAGAAAAAGGAUGGGAAGACCAUUAAAGAAGCUCAUGAACACUUAAAAGUUGGGAACGAAGAAAGAAUUCAUGUAUACUAUGCACACGGGGAGGAUAACUCAACCUUUGUCCGAAGGUGUUAUUGGCUACUUGAUAAGACUCUGGAGCACAUAGUCCUUGUUCACUAUCGUGAAACUCAGGAGUUGCAGGGUUCUCCGGUCACACCUUUGAAUUCAAAUUCUAGUUCAGUCUCCGACCAGUCUCCACGGCUUUUAUCAGAAGCUGAUUCCGGAACAUAUGUUUCUGACGAGAAAGAACUGCAAGAGCCAGGUGAUAGUUUAACUGUCAUAAAUCAUGAAUUGAGGCUUCACGAGAUUAAUACACUUGAAUGGGAUGAGCUAGUGACGAAUGAUCCUAACAACUCGGCUACGGCUAAAGAAGAUAAGAUUAUGGGUUUCGCCCAACAGAAUCAAAUUGCAGUAAAUGGGUCCAUGAAUAAUGGUAGAUAUCUUUCACCCUACAAUUUGUCAGCAGAAAUUUCUCCUUUGGAUAACUUAACAAAGCCUGUUGUGAGGAGCAACGACUCUCACUUUAGUAUACCAGACAAUGAAUACAUUCAGUCAACAGGAGUCCAAGUAAAUUCAAAUGUGCAGCAGAAGGGUUCUAAUUUUCUAGGAACUGGUGAUACUCUGGACAUGUUGGUUAAUGAUGGUUUGCAAAGUCAGGAUAGUUUCGGAAGGUGGAUAGACUACAUUAUAGCUGAUUCUCCAGGUUCAGUAGAUAACGCUGUGCUUGAAUCUUCAUUUUCAUCUGGGCUUGAUUCAUCUACUUCUCCAGCAAUUGAUCAACUUCAAUCUUCUGUUCCUGAACAAAUAUUUGUCAUCACUGAUAUUUCCCCUGCAUGGGCCUUUUCAACUGAAACAACAAAGAUUCUGGUUGUGGGAUAUUUCCAUGAACAGUAUCUACAGUUAGCAAAGUCCAAUAUGUUUUGUGUAUGCGGAGAUGCAUAUGCUUUGGUGGACAUUGUUCAGACUGGGGUAUAUCGCUGUUUGGUAUCACCACAUUUCCCUGGAAUAGUGAAUUUGUUUCUAAGUUUGGAUGGACAUAAACCCAUUAGCCAACUUAUAAAUUUUGAGUACCGUGCUCCAUUACAUGAUCCUGUGGUUUCUUCAGAAGACAAAACAAACUGGGAAGAGUUCAAGCUUCAGAUGAGACUUGCUCAUUUGCUUUUCUCUACCUCUAAAAGCCUUGGCAUUCAAACCAGUAAGGUAUCAUCAAUUACCCUAAAAGAGGCUAAGAAGUUUGACCACAAAACUUCUAACAUUCACCGAAGUUGGGCAUAUCUGAUCAAGUUAAUUGAGGAUAACAGGCUUUCUUUUUCACAAGCAAAAGAUAGUUUGUUUGAACUUACUUUGAAGAGCAUGCUAAAAGAAUGGUUGUUGGAAAGAGUGGUUGAAGGCUGUAAAACAACUGAAUAUGAUGCCCAGGGUCAAGGAGUAAUUCAUUUGUGUUCUAUUCUUGGAUAUACUUGGGCUGUUUAUCUUUUUUCAUGGUCAGGCUUGUCAUUGGAUUUUCGGGAUAAACAUGGAUGGACAGCUCUUCAUUGGGCAGCAUAUUAUGGAAGGGAAAAAAUGGUUGCAGUACUCUUAUCUGCUGGGGCUAAGCCUAACUUGGUUACAGACCCCACUAAAGAAAACCCUGAUGGAUGCAUGGCUGCUGAUCUUGCAUCUAUGAAGGGUUAUGAUGGCUUAGCAGCUUACUUGUCAGAAAAGGCUUUAGUAGCACAUUUCAAGGAUAUGUCCAUAGCUGGAAAUGCCAGUGGUACACUUCAGCAAACAAGUGCAACUGACAUAGUAAACUCUGAGAACCUAAGUGAGGAGGAGCUCUAUCUGAAAGAUACUUUGGCAGCCUACAGGACAGCUGCUGAUGCAGCAGCACGUAUUCAAUCUGCAUUCAGAGAACACUCCCUGAAAGUACGGACUACAGCUGUUCAGUCUGCCAACCCGGAGGAUGAAGCACGAACAAUAGUUGCAGCAAUGAAAAUUCAACAUGCCUAUCGCAACUUCGAGACUCGAAAAAAGAUGGCAGCUGCUGUACGCAUCCAGUAUAGGUUCCGCACGUGGAAAAUGCGGAAGGAGUUCCUUAAUAUGCGUCGUCAGGUUAUCAGGAUUCAAGCUGCUUUCCGGGGCUACCAAGUGAGAAGGCAAUACCGGAAGAUAAUCUGGUCAGUUGGAGUGCUAGAGAAAGCAAUUCUGCGGUGGCGUCUAAAGAGAAAAGGCUUUCGGGGACUUCAAAUUGAUCCUGUUGAAGCAGUUGCAGAUCUGAAGCAGGGAAGUGACACAGAGGAAGACUUCUACAAAGCCAGCCGGAAACAAGCUGAAGAACGUGUUGAGAGAGCUGUGGUACGGGUUCAAGCCAUGUUCCGCUCAAAGAAAGCACAAGCGGAAUACCGGAGAAUGAAAUUGACCCAUUACCAAGUGAAGCUGGAAUACGAAGAGCUUCUUGACCAUGAUAUUGACAUUGACAGAUGAAGAGGGUUCAAGAUCUGGAUUUAACUUGGUAACUUGGUCAUUCACUUAACAUAUUUAAGUAGGUAAUUGGCCAGUAUCAAUCGUCUGCAUGCACACGAAUGUAGCAUAGGAAAGGAACAAGGUCAUCCAACCUAUUUGUCGGUUUGGUAUGAAUUCCCAUAUAGAAGUUCCCAAUUCAAUUUCGAUGGUCUAGAAUGGAGAAGAAUGAUCACCAGCAAGUCGCUACUUUAGAAUUGCUUAAUUAAAUUAGCGGACCACCUAACCAAGUUUGGUAUCGUUCUGGAACAUUUAAACACGUUAUUCCAUAAUAGUUAUUAUUGCUCUCAUCAUUGGAAUAAGAUGCUAUAAACAGAGAUAUGGAAGACGAGAUAUCCUAAAAUGUAGGACCAUCUUAUUUGCCACAUAGAAAAUCUGAUGCUGUUGCUCUUUAGAGCCCAUCAUUAGUGAAAGACAACCAAAGCAGCUAAUCUAAAGAAAAAGAAAAGAAGAAGAGGAAGAAGAAAGAAACCUUGAUGCUUUUGAUCUUAAUGUUGAAACCUGAUCUAAUUUCUCCACUACUGCCCGAGUAGUAAAAAUUCAUCUUUUGAGACAGCAGAGGGUAAGUCAGAUCUUAUUUCCCAGAACGAGAAAAGGAAUAUUAAACAAGCUCCUGAGAAGGGAAAAGAAAAAGACCUUUUCUUGGCGCUAGCAUCAACCAAGUAUACCACUUCAUCGACCUGCAUUAUAUGUGGAGAAAGAUCAUGAGCACAAUUUACUAAUAUGAUGUUUUGGUAUUGUACCCGAGUCUGACACUAUAAUUUCUAUAAGACUCUGCCAGCAAAUUGAUGACCACCCAAAUCAAAGUCCUUCAACUGGAUCUUCCCUAUACAUGUAAUCAUCUGUAAAGAAAAUAUAUACCCACAGAGAUUUUCUUCUUAAUACAUUCAUUUCUUGGGAUUCAAGGGGUUUGAUUAGAUUCACCCCGACAAUUCUUUCAAACUUGUGUAGCUGUCAUGUUACAGUUUCAAUCAAGGUGAUUAAUUUAGCUUGAGUGGGUAGCU